UAGAUUGAAGCCCGCUGGUUUGGGUUUUUAGUUGUUAACUAAAGGUUCACGGGAUCAAGGCCCGCCGGUCUAG
rnacentral:tRNA from 2 species